rnacentral:tRNA from 1 species
GCCUGAUAAAAAGGGUUAUUUUGAUAGGAUAGAUAAUGUAAAAAUAAUUACCCUUAUUA